rfam:Clostridium puniceum strain DSM 2619 CLPTN_contig000042, whole genome shotgun sequence.
GGUUGGGCAAAUUUUAUAAUUUGCUUUCAAGCAAUUUUAGUUUCUGGGGUGGGAAACU